rnacentral:lncRNA from 1 species
UGACUCCUCACUAGGACUACCUUGGCCAAGAUUUUGCUAAAUUGAAACACGACUGUACACAGCUUCUAAACUGGAGUGGUCAAUUUCAUCUUGACACACACACCGACAAGUCAAGUACUUGACUACACCCAGCAACCUUUCAUCACUGAACUAGAAAUUCAGGUAGUCCAGUGCCUAAGUGCAGUGAGUUGCUUGCAAGUCACCGUGGCGGUCUCA